AUACGGGGGGUGCAAGCGUUAAUCGGAAUUACUGGGCGUAAAGCGCGCGUAGGCGGUUUGCUCAGUCGGAUGUGAAAGCCCAGGACUCAACCUUGGAACUGCAUACGAUACUGGCAAACUAGAGUGUGAGAGAGGAUAGUGGAAUUUCCGGUGUAGCGGUGAAAUGCGUAGAUAUCGGAAGGAACAUCAGUGGCGAAGGCGACUGUCUGGCUCAACACUGACGCUGAGGUGCGAAAGCGUGGGUAGCAAACAGGAUUAGAAACCCUAGUAGUCC
rnacentral:rRNA from 1 species